GACCAGGUAGCUCAAUUGGUUAGAGCGUCUGUCUAGAGUUUAGAGGGUCUCGGGUUCGAAUCCCGGUCUGGCCG